UGUGAAUAUAUGAACAUUUUCAAAACUUAUAUACUGGAGGAAAUCCCCUAAACUGGCCAGGAAAUACCCAGAACUGUCCCCCAGGAAAGCCUACAUAUGAAAAGGCAAGUUUAACCAAGUUGCUCCAAAGCACUAGCCCCUUUCAGGUUUUGGACACGUGGCCUCUCUGGCUGAAUGGACAGAAAGUCUGAAUGUGUAAGAGCAGCUAAAAACAACAACCCAAACAAGACAGCCAUUCUCAAUCCCCUCAGACCACCGCUCUGAGAGGCUUGCUUGCCGACGGGUUCUACAUGUUAAAUAACUCCCUAUUCUUAGUUCACGUUGACUUGGUGGCCCGAGCCAGGUGAAAAGACAAUUGACCCAAACAGCCAAAUUGAGCUCAAAACUUCGCUAACGAGGUGAAUAUUUUCUAAUCCCGGUUGGCAUUGUUCGGCACCAAGUGCCACUUUCUAAAAAUAUGUCCCUUGCGUCAAAGGAAAAUUGUUAAAAGACGGUGGGGGUGGGGCAGAAAAGGAGUCUCUUAAUGAACUGUUUUAUAGUUUUGUUGUGUGCUUUCUUGCAGGCGACUUUUUGGCAAAUACUGCAUCUUCAGCCAGGAGAAGUUGGCUGAGUACAAAAGAGCUUUUGAAGCGGAAAAUAAAAAAGCUUUAGAUUAUUUAACUUAAGAAAUUUAAGUGUUCUGAAGCUACUCUAUGAAGACGAUGCGUUUCCAUUUCUUCUCCUCCACUGUCUUACUCAAUUCUUCCGGAGCUGAAUGGAGCACGGUUUUUACUUGACUACCUGGGUAAGCCUGCAGCACUGACUUUGCUUGAUUGGUGUUAGAUUACAAGAACUUGACAGCAUUACCAGGUUUCCAGGCCUUCCCAGGGCACCACGCGUAUGUUUUGAUUUUAGCCAACAUGAUGCAUAUGAAGUAUGAAACUCAGUUCUCAACAAAUGACAAUAUCUCAA
rnacentral:lncRNA from 12 species